rnacentral:rRNA from 1 species
GACGAACGCUGGCGGCGUGCUUAACACAUGCAAGUCGAACGGAAAGGCCCUGCUUUUGUGGGGUGCUCGAGUGGCGAACGGGUGAGUAACACGUGAGUAACCUGCCCUUGACUUUGGGAUAACUUCAGGAAACUGGGGCUAAUACCGGAUAGGAGCUCCUGCUGCGGGGUGGGGGUUGGAAAGUUUCGGCGGUUGGGGAUGGACUCGCGGCUUAUCAGCUUGUUGGUGGGGUAGUGGCUUACCAAGGCUUUGACGGGUAGCCGGCCUGAGAGGGUGACCGGCCACAUUGGGACUGAGAUACGGCCCAGACUCCUACGGGAGGCAGCAGUGGGGAAUAUUGCACAAUGGGCGGAAGCCUGAUGCAGCAACGCCGCGUGCGGGAUGACGGCCUUCGGGUUGUAAACCGCUUUCGCCUGUGACGAAGCGUGAGUGACGGUAAUGGGUAAAGAAGCACCGGCUAACUACGUG